CAACAUGCCGGUAGUGGAGGAUAGUCGAUGGAAACGUCGUGUAAUACUCCGUAACAACAUUGACCGCAUGAUCGAUGUUUAAUAGAUUUAUUGCUAUCGGAUUGGCUCGCGUACCAUUAGCUAGUUGGCGGGGUAACGGCCCACCAAGGCGACGAUGGUUAGGGGUUCUGAGAGGAAGGUCCCCCCACAUUGGAACUGAGACACGGUCCAGACUCCUACGGGAGGCAGCAGUGAGGAAUAUUGGACAAUGGCCGGAAGGCUGAUCCAGCCAUGCCGCGUGCGGGAAGAACCGGCCCUAUGGGUUGUAAACCGCUUUUGUUGGGGAGCAAUAAGGAGCACGUGUGCUUCGAUGAGAGUACCCAGCGAAUAAGCAUCGGCUAACUCCGUGCCAGCAGCAGC
rnacentral:rRNA from 1 species